rnacentral:lncRNA from 1 species
AAAAAGCAACAUUUCCUCUCCAGACGGAUGCGGUGCUGCUGGGUCUUAAAGACUGCCCUCUGCCCAGAAUCCAUUUUGGGCAACAAAGAAUGGGACUCCAAGCUGACUGCUAACAGCCUGAGCAUGAGACACAUCCACUGAAUGUUCUGAAUUCACUCUUCCUCUCCUCAUUACUGAGAGCCAGAACUGGCUUAAAAUUUCUUAUG